UUAUAAGAGACAGCAGCAGCCGCGGUAAUACAGAGGAUGCAAGCGUUAUCCGGAAUGAUUGGGCGUAAAGCGUCUGUAGGUGGCUUUUCAAGUCCGCCGUCAAAUCCCAGGGCUCAACCCUGGACAGGCGGUGGAAACUACCAAGCUGGAGUACGGUAGGGGCAGAGGGAACUUCCGGUGGAGCGGUGAAAUGCGUUGAGAUCGGAAAGAGCACCAACGGCGAAAGCACUCUGCUGGGCCGACACUGACACUGAGAGACGAAAGCUAGGGGAGCAAAUGGGAUUAGAUACCCCUGUAGUCCCUGUCUCUUAUAC
rnacentral:rRNA from 1 species